UCCUGCCCAGUGAUAUAAAAUUCAACGGCCGCGGUAUCCUAACCAUGCAAAGGUAGCAUAAUCACUUGCCCAUUAAUUGUGGGCUAGAAUGAAAGGAUUAACGAAAUAAAAACUGUCUCUGUAAGUAAACUAAAAAUUAAUCUCUAAUUGAAGAAUAUUAGAUUUUGUCGGAGGACAAGAAGACCCUAUAGAGCUUUAUUCUAAUAAAGACAAACAACUUUCUUCAGAAUUCGGUUGGGGCGACCGGGGAAUAAAAUAAUCAUCCCUAAAACAAAGAUUAAUUAAUCGAACUAAAGACCCUUAACAAAGAUCAAAAGAAUAAGCUACCUUAGGGAUAACAGGCUAAUCCCACUAGAGAGUUCUUAUCUAUAGUGGGGGUUGGCACCUCGAUGUUGGCUUAGGGAAUCAGUUUAGCGCAAAAGUUAAACACAGAUGGUUUGUUCAACCAAUAACUUCCCUACAUGAGCUGAGUUCAGACCGGCGUAAGCCAGGUUAGUUUCUAUCCUCGAUAAUAAUUUCUAUCUAUAGUACGAAAGGACCUAGAUAUGGGUAAAUUUUACACAAAAAGAACAAAUAUAAUAUAAAUUAACUCUACAUUACUAUAAACUAUA
rnacentral:rRNA from 1 species